rnacentral:rRNA from 1 species
GAUGAACGCUGGCGGCGUGCCUAAUACAUGCAAGUCGAGCGAACAGAUAAGGAGCUUGCUCCUUUGAAGUUAGCGGCGGACGGGUGAGUAACACGUGGGUAACCUACCUAUAAGACUGGGAUAACUUCGGGAAACCGGAGCUAAUACCGGAUAACAUUUAGAACCGCAUGGUUCUAAAGUGAAAGAUGGUUUUGCUAUCACUUAUAGAUGGACCCGCGCCGUAUUAGCUAGUUGGUAAGGUAACGGCUUACCAAGGCGACGAUACGUAGCCGACCUGAGAGGGUGAUCGGCCACACUGGAACUGAGACACGGUCCAGACUCCUACGGGAGGCAGCAGUAGGGAAUCUUCCGCAAUGGGCGAAAGCCUGACGGAGCAACGCCGCGUGAGUGAUGAAGGGUUUCGGCUCGUAAAACUCUGUUAUUAGGGAAGAACAAAUGUGUAAGUAACUGUGCACAUCUUGACGGUACCUAAUCAGAAAGCCACGGCUAACUACGUGCCAGCAGCCGCGGUAAUACGUAAGUGGCAAGCGUUAUCCGGAAUUAUGGGCGUUAAGCGCGCGUAGGCGGUUUCUUAAGUCUGAUGUGAAAGCCCACGGCUCAACCGUGGAGGGUCAUUGGAAACUGGGAAACUUGAGUGCAGAAGAGGAAAGUGGAAUUCCAUGUGUAGCGGUGAAAUGCGCAGAGAUAUGGAGGAACACCAGUGGCGAAGGCGACUUUCUGGUCUGUAACUGACGCUGAUGUGCGAAAGCGUGGGGAUCAAACAGGAUUAGAUACCCUGGUAGUCCACGCCGUAAACGAUGAGUGCUAAGUGUUAGGGGGUUUCCGCCCCUUAGUGCUGCAGCUAACGCAUUAAGCACUCCGCCUGGGGAGUACGACCGCAAGGUUGAAACUCAAAGGAAUUGACGGGGACCCGCACAAGCGGUGGAGCAUGUGGUUUAAUUCGAAGCAACGCGAAGAACCUUACCAAAUCUUGACAUCCUUUGAAAACUCUAGAGAUAGAGCCUUCCCCUUCGGGGGACAAAGUGACAGGUGGUGCAUGGUUGUCGUCAGCUCGUGUCGUGAGAUGUUGGGUUAAGUCCCGCAACGAGCGCAACCCUUAAGCUUAGUUGCCAUCAUUAAGUUGGGCACUCUAGGUUGACUGCCGGUGACAAACCGGAGGAAGGUGGGGAUGACGUCAAAUCAUCAUGCCCCUUAUGAUUUGGGCUACACACGUGCUACAAUGGACAAUACAAAGGGCAGCUAAACCGCGAGGUCAUGCAAAUCCCAUAAAGUUGUUCUCAGUUCGGAUUGUGGUCUGCAACUCGACUACAUGAAGCUGGAAUCGCUAGUAAUCGUAGAUCAGCAUGCUACGGUGAAUACGUUCCCGGGUCU